rnacentral:rRNA from 1 species
UACGAAGGGGGCUAGCGUUGCUCGGAAUUACUGGGCGUAAAGGGCGCGUAGGCGGGAUGGCAAGUCGGUCGUGAAAUCCCUCGGCUCAACCGAGGAAUGUCGAUCGAUACUGCUGUUCUUGAGGAUUGCAGAGGAGACUGGAAUUCCCGGUGUAGCGGUGAAAUGUGUAGAGAUCGGGAGGAACACCGGUGGCGAAGGCGGGUCUCUGGGCAAUUCCUGACGCUGAGGCGCGAAAGCGUGGGGAGCAAACGGG